GAUGAACGCUGGCGGCGUGCCUAAUACAUGCAAGUCGAGCGAACAGACGAGGAGCUUGCUCCUCUGACGUUAGCGGCGGACGGGUGAGUAACACGUGGAUAACCUACCUAUAAGACUGGGAUAACUUCGGGAAACCGGAGCUAAUACCGGAUAAUAUAUUGAACCGCAUGGUUCAAUAGUGAAAGACGGUUUUGCUGUCACUUAUAGCUGGAUCCGCGCCGCAUUAGCUAGUUGGUAAGGUAACGGCUUACCAAGGCAACGAUGCGUAGCCGACCUGAGAGGGGGAUCGGCCACACUGGAACGUAGACACGGUCCAGACGCCUACGGGAGGCAGCAGUAGGGAAUCUUCCGCAAUGGGCGAAAGCCUGACGGAGCAACGCCGCGUGAAUUAUGAAGGUCUUCGGAUCGUAAAACUGUGUUAUUAGGGAAGAACAAAUGUGUAAGUAACUAUGCACGUCUUGACGGUACCUAAUCAGAAAGCCACGGCUAACUACGUG
rnacentral:rRNA from 1 species